GGCUGGGGAGCUCGCUGAAUGUCAUCACCAGCAAGAGUAAGAAGUAUUGGCAGCAGCAGGCAGGCGGGCAGGCUGGGAGUUUGCAUGGGAAUCAUGAAAUCUUGUCUUUCUCUUUUGAAAUGUUUUGGAAGGAGAGUUAAGAAUAGCUCCGAAACUGGUCUUGUUGUUUUUGUGGGAAGAAUGACCAGAAGCAUAAAAGCUGCAUUUUCCAGUGAGUGCAGGACACCUCUUUUGGUGUUUGCAAUAAACCUAACAGAACGAACUGCUAUCUGUAAAGUACUGUGCCAUGACACCUAAAAUGAAGGGAAUGGGAAAGCAAAGUAAUGGCUCAAAGGCUGCUACCGAGAGCUUUUGUCUACCUUUAACUCAUUGUGAAACUUGACAUCAUCAGAUAGUGAACCAAGAGUUAGUGGCAGCUGCGGCCAAAUGAUGACCUCAGCUUAAUCUUGGCAUCUUUGCAAGAAACAGACUCUAACUACUGUCUGACGAAGAAGUCAGAGAGUACUGCCACCAAAAAGUCCUCCCUGUGGUCAGGAACCACAGCUUCCUUUUUAACAUAAGCAAAGUUGGACAUUCCAAAGAUGGCGUAGAUGAACAUGACCAGGAAGAGCAGGAGGCCGAUGUUAAACAAGGCGGGAAGGGACAUCAUCAGAGCAAAGAGCAGCGUGCGGAUCCCCUUCGCCCCUUUGAUCAGACGCAAGAUUCGACCAAUCCUGGCGAGACGGAUCACUCGGAACAGGGUAUCCAGGAGAGCCUUCAGGCCAGUGUUAAGAGAACUACUUAUGAGCAGAAGCUGAAUGCCAUACCAUGUCAAGAACUUACCAGAAGAAGCUAGGAAAACACUGGGAAGAGAACUCUGAAUUAGAGCUCCUGAGAUACCUAAUCCAGAGUCUGAUGCCAAGCUGACAGACUAAACCAAGUCAACAUGGUGGCUUUGAAAAUUGAAGUCAGUGAGUCAUGGAAGAACAUCUUAUCCCAAUUUUCUCCUUUGAAUUUUCAAUGUGUGAACAUGCGACUACGUACCACUAGGUUUCCAAUGACCAUGACCAUCAUGUAGACUAUAAGGCACAUGGCUUGACCAGCGACCUCCAUACAGUCCCACAUGGUUUCUAUCCACUCUCCACACAGCACGCGGAAGACAAUCAGGAAGGAGUGAAAGAAGUCAUUCAUGUGCCAGCGUGGGAGUGUGCAGUCUUCAUUGAUCUUGCAGACACAUUCUUUGUAGCUUUUACCAAAGAGCUGCAUGCCAACCACAGCAAAAAUGAAGACGAUGAUGGCCAACACCAAGAAUUACAUGGAGACUGUAAUGGAUGUUUCUUAUUACCAAGGAAGAUCUCAUGAAUUGCUCUGAGUGGAUGAGGAUAAAUGACUCAGCGUGAAAAGGACGACGGAGACUGGUGGGCACAGUAGCAAAAUGGAGAAUGUAAGCUCCAUCUGAAAGAGGUGGCCACUGUUCAGCUCUAAAGGAUUGUUGCCAUGCAGGAAUAUGAGCUCAGUCUUACCAGGUGCACUCAUUUUUGUGUGAAAAUGUCUUGGUUUUAAAUCUUGGCAACUAAUUCAAAGUUUAAACACUAUGCUGGUUCAGUGCAGGCCAACAAUACACACACACACAUACACAGCUCACACACACAUAUACACACAAACAACUAUACAAUUCUACAUGUAUCACCUAUCUAUCUGUUUAGGUGUGGUAUGUGUGGUAUUUACGUAUGUAUAAAUACACACACACCACUUUACAAACGUGUAAAUAUAGCUCUAGAGUUUUAAAGUUGUAUAGUUGUUUAGAUAUACUUAUAUGUGUGUGUGUAUCAAAACAUGGACACAUGGGCAUAAAUGUAUGCAUUUGUGUCUGUCUGUAUGUGUAUGUGCACAGACAUCCACACACACAUAUCUGUAGCUGGCUUUUUAUGGAGAUCUUUCUAUUUGACACAGUCUCUAAUCUACUGACUUUCAAGAAAUGGCAAUUUUUCUACAAGUCAAACAAGAAUAACACAUUCUUUUUCAUGUAGACACGUUUUAGUUGUCAAGGUUAUAUUAUCUGUCAUGCAAUUUUUUUCAUCUAAACUGUACAUUUUGCCACACUAUCAUGUUUAUUGCAUUUCUGUUGAAUCUUAGAGUAUACUCU